UUAUUGUUAUUAUUAUUAUUAUUAUUAUUAUUAUUAUUAUUAUUAUUAUUAUUAUUAUCAUUAUUAUUAUCCAUUUUCAUCAUUAAUUUUAUUAUUAUAACAUACUAUAAACUUUGUUAAAAAUAUUCAUUGUUUACAAAAAUUCAAGGAUUGAGGUAAGUAGGUGAAAUUAGGCAGGAUUAGUAAUUGUUGACUCAAACACUUGUGGACCCGUCUGUAUAAACAAAAAAUCAGUGGAUAAUGCAUAUAUGCAAUGGGAUCAUUGUAUAGCAGUUGACUGCUCUUCCUAUCACAUUUACACUCAAGGUGUGGACUGCCCUUGGUGAAUGCUUGUGAAAAGUUCCAGAGAAGUCUUGCUACUUUCAGAGAGUAUCCCACAUGGUAUUAAUGUAUGAAAUGUGUGAAGAAUAUUUUAUGUAGUUAAAACAGAAACAUGGUUUCAAUGCAGAUUUUACAAACUUUGAUAUUCUGAUGCAGAAUGUUAAACUCUAAGUGCUUUUUUAUCAUUUUUAUUCCUUUGUUCAUCAUAUAGAGCAAUAAGUUGUCUUUUUGUAAUAUUGGUGUUAUUCUAUCAAUUUUAGGUAAACUUUUCAUCUUUUUUACUUUGUAAUCAGUCCCCUUUUAGUAGGGGUUAGGAUUAUUAACCCCUUGGAUCUGAGUUCUUCGCAACCUGCAUGUUGCCUAAUACACGGCUUACUUGAGUGGCCUCUCACAGGUGUGUGGUUUGUAGGCCCACACAGAUACUCAUUUGUAGUGUCAAGGCUCCUUGCCUCUCCAAUGCAAUGUUAUAUCUUUGCGCAUAAGCAUUUUGUUUCUCCAAUUUCUUAUGUUAUUGUCAUUUGAUGUGCUGUAUCCAGAUGCUAAUGGACUAUUUUCCUUACAUAAACUUAAUAUCAUCUCUCUGGGUAGUCCAUAACUCAGUGCACUGAUAAUAACAAGUAGCAUUUUGUUGUCAUUAAAUUUUUUUUCCAUAAUACUCAGUUUUCUGUAAUACAACUGUAAUACAAAGUCCAUCAAAGUGGGCAGGAAUAGGAUAGCAUGGAAAUAGUUUCCUCCCUGGAGCUAGCACUCUCCUAUAUAAUGCUGGAGCCCCUUCCUAAAUGCCCACUGAGUCUAUUCACCCAUCAAGAACUUUCUGCAAAGCGGUGAGUCAUUCUUGUCACCCUGGCCUUCGGGUGAAAUUUGCAUGACAGCAUUUUCCUGUCACUCCAGCUCUCAAGCAAAAUUUUUCAAUGAUGGCACAUUCACAUCACCUGGUUCUCAAGCCAAAUUUUUCCACGACAUGAAGGUCACAUAUUAUGAAUCCAAGGGGUUAAAAACCGCUUUUCUGGAUGUAAUUAUCCAGUGCUCAUUGAGAGAGAAGUCUCCAUGAAACGUAUGAAUAUUCUUUAGUUUAAGAAAGUAGCAAUAAUCAUAAAUCAUAAUCAAUCAAAAUAAUCAUUGAUUAUUAUUAUUAUUAUUAUUGAAGAAAAGGUCUUGGCCAAAUGCAUGAACAUUUACAUAAAUUAUUUUCAGAUGUGACUCUUAUUUUAAAUAUUUACCAAUAUGUAUGCUGAUACACAAUUAAUGAAAUGGAAUCUUCUCUCAGAUGGUAUUCUGUCGAGGAAGAGGAUAUGGCUACCGACGCAACACCAGGAUGGGGGUAGUGACGUGAUGUGGAACGCUGCCUGAACAGGGCAUCAGUUUGGCACAGCAGAAGGGUGAUGCAUUAAUAGGGGGGAGGGGGGGCAAUUAUUGAGGCACCAAGGAGGCAUUCACAACUGCACAGGGUGUAGUCAGAGGAGGUUGGCCUCUGCUGUGGGGAUAUGCACCCUGGAGUCAAGGUGAGAUGAUGACUGUGGUGAAGUAGAAGAGGCUGAGGAGUAGCAGUUUAGGGUGGAGACCAAUCAGAUUGAGCCAUGAAAUGUAGAUGCAGUAGCAGUGAUAGGAAGCUAAUGGUCUUGUAUUUCCCAUCAGGCAAAGAGGGAGAGUGGCUAAAUAAAAAUGAAUGAGGGAAAGUGGGGAAGGAAGGGGUAGAAAGGAACUGAAUGUGAAUUCUAUUAUUUUUUCUUUGCUAUUGAAAUUGAUGCCGUUAUUGGUAUUAUUGACAUUAUUAUUAUUAUUAUUAUUAUAUUAAAUUGUAGCAAGAAACAAUUUUAAAGAAAAAAUUCCCAGAAAUGGGAAUUAAGCCAGGAGAAGAAGAGUACAUGUUGAGAUAUUUAUGUGCAAACACAAUCAAUAAACUAAAAUCACAGUGGAUAUGGCAUAUAUGUCAUGCCAUCAUAGCAUAAGGGAUUUCAGAGAAAAGCUAGGGCCUGGUUUUGGAAGAUUAAGGCUCCUAAUGCUCUUCCUAAAUUUGAAUUUAUUUGGAGGUGACUCUUUAGGGGCAGAUUGCGAGUUGUGAUUUAAUUUAACAAAUGACACCGAAGACCAUAUUUUGGCAAAAGAAUAAUUUUUCUUGGCUCUGGACAUUACCUCCUAAUGUUCUUAUUUGUGUGUGAAUACUAGUGAUAUUGUGUAGAAUUUAAUGAAGUACCAUAAUAUCAGCAGGUAAAGUUCUUUAAGUAAGGUACACUAAAAUGUGUGCUAAAUUGAUUAAUGAUGAUUCUGACCUUUUUAACUUUUGAUGCCAGGAAUGCUUGUAUACUUGCACAGCCCACUGUGGUUUUGUUAUUAAAUUUGUUUAAAAUCAUGACUCCAGAAGUGCUUUGUCACCAAGGAAUUAAUUAUUAAACCUGUGUCACUUGCAUUUGUCUACCCCAUACCACCAUCACCACCACCCCACCACUACCGCCAUCACCACCGCCAUCACCACCGCCAUCACCACCGCCAUCACCACCACCCCACCACUACCUCCAUCAUCCAACAUCAGUCAUCAGUCAUCAAUCAUCAAGGAAUUGGUUAAAUGCUAGGAUCAUAAAGGAUUGGUGACACUUCAUCUCUAGCCAUUUGUAUGUAAACAAAUUUUAAGUAAAUAACCGCUGUGAAUAAUACAUGUACCAGGCAUAUCAUGGAUCAAGAUGUGGAAGAAGGUAGAUUCAAGUAUAGGCAAUUGAAUAAUAUGAAUGGUCUGGGCAAUUGAGUAAUUUUAUUAUGGUUAACUUUUUUCAGAAUAGUUAUUGGUGAGGAUGUGAACAUGUGACGUUUUUCUCCUCUGGAAGUUUUAUUGGCUAUAUUUAUUCAGUUUUUUUCUGUAUAAAAACUUAAAUAUUCUGGUAAUAUUUAUUUCAAUUUGUUCCAUAUUCUUAAAAUUAUACUUGCUUUAGGAUUUGAAGUCAAGUAAUCAUGUAUAUCUAAACUAUUGUAAAAUCACUAUCUUUUAUAUUGAAUGUGUGUUUUGGAAGCACUUCUGUGUUUCCUCAUUUUGUAAGAGCCCAAAUAAAAU